GCUUAAAUGGCCCAGACCAAGAGCAGAACAGGAGCUACCCUGGCCUCUUCCCUGUGGCCCACACUCUUACCUGGGGUGGGGGCCAGGGGAAGGUGGUGCUAAGGAAGGAUGAACCCAGGAACAAGAGCUCUUCUCCUGGAGGCUGACAGCAACUGCUCUAAGCCAUCACCCACUGUGCCCUGACCUGUUCCUGUCUGGCCUUCCCAGAAUCAGACACUCCCAAAUGGGAGGCAUGUCCAGGCCCUUUGUACUGCUCCAGAGCCUGGAGACUGGGAUUCCAAACGGGAGGAAAACAAUGCAAGAAGGAAAAACCGAAGAAUCAACAUUAUAAAUAUGGAAGUGCCUUCAAACUCCCCUAAUAGUACCCUGUCCCUGGAUAUGGGUCACACUCCACUUUCCCAGCAACGGAAUUGUGAUGGGGGAAUGGGGAAGAGAGAAAGUAACCUGGGAAAAGCACUUUCUGAAUGCAAAUAAGAAGUCACAGGCAGGCUUCCCUGGUGGUCCAAUGGUUGGAAAUCUAUCUGCCAAUGCAGGGGACACUGGUUUGAUCCUUGGUCUGUGAAGAUCCCACAUGCCAUGAGGCAAUGAAGCCCAUGCACCACGACGAGUGAAGCCCACUCACCCUAGAGCCUAUGCUCUGCGGCAAGAAAAGCCCCCACAGUGGAAGCUCGAGCACCGCAACUAAGGAACAGUCCCUGCUCUCUGCAACUAGAGAAAGCACCUCGUGCAGGAGCGAAGAUCCAGCACAGCCAAAGAAAAACAUUAACGAGUAAAUUAAAAACAUCCUAACUUGGGACUUCCCUAGUGGCUCAGUGGUGAAGAUGCGUGUGCCGAUGCAAGGGAUAUGGGUUCGAUUCCUGGUCCAGGAAGAUCCCACACGCAGCAGAGCGGCUAGGCCUGGACACCACAACUACUGAGCCUGUGCUCUGGAGCCUGUGAGCUCAACUACUGACCACCUGCUGCAACUACUGAAGCCCACGCACCCUCGAGCCUGUGCUCCACAAGAGAAGCCACUGCAAUAAGCAGCCCGCACACCACAACUAGAGCGUAGUCACCACUCACUGCAAGUAGCAAAAACCCAGGGCAGCAAUGAAGACUCAGCACAACAGAA
ensembl:lncRNA